rnacentral:rRNA from 1 species
GACGAACGCUGGCGGCGUGCCUAAUACAUGCAAGUCGAACGAACUCUGGUAUUGAUUGGUGCUUGCAUCAUGAUUUACAUUUGAGUGAGUGGCGAACUGGUGAGUAACACGUGGGAAACCUGCCCAGAAGCGGGGGAUAACACCUGGAAACAGAUGCUAAUACCGCAUAACAACUUGGACCGCAUGGUCCGAGCUUGAAAGAUGGCUUCGGCUAUCACUUUUGGAUGGUCCCGCGGCGUAUUAGCUAGAUGGUGGGGUAACGGCUCACCAUGGCAAUGAUACGUAGCCGACCUGAGAGGGUAAUCGGCCACAUUGGGACUGAGACACGGCCCAAACUCCUACGGGAGGCAGCAGUAGGGAAUCUUCCACAAUGGACGAAAGUCUGAUGGAGCAACGCCGCGUGAGUGAAGAAGGGUUUCGGCUCGUAAAACUCUGUUGUUAAAGAAGAACAUAUCUGAGAGUAACUGUUCAGGUAUUGACGGUAUUUAACCAGAAAGCCACGGCUAACUACGUGCCAGCAGCCGCGGUAAUACGUAGGUGGCAAGCGUUGUCCGGAUUUAUUGGGCGUAAAGCGAGCGCAGGCGGUUUUUUAAGUCUGAUGUGAAAGCCUUCGGCUCAACCGAAGAAGUGCAUCGGAAACUGGGAAACUUGAGUGCAGAAGAGGACAGUGGAACUCCAUGUGUAGCGGUGAAAUGCGUAGAUAUAUGGAAGAACACCAGUGGCGAAGGCGGCUGUCUGGUCUGUAACUGACGCUGAGGCUCGAAAGUAUGGGUAGCAAACAGGAUUAGAUACCCUGGUAGUCCAUACCGUAAACGAUGAAUGCUAAGUGUUGGAGGGUUUCCGCCCUUCAGUGCUGCAGCUAACGCAUUAAGCAUUCCGCCUGGGGAGUACGGCCGCAAGGCUGAAACUCAAAGGAAUUGACGGGGGCCCGCACAAGCGGUGGAGCAUGUGGUUUAAUUCGAAGCUACGCGAAGAACCUUACCAGGUCUUGACAUACUAUGCAAAUCUAAGAGAUUAGACGUUCCCUUCGGGGACAUGGAUACAGGUGGUGCAUGGUUGUCGUCAGCUCGUGUCGUGAGAUGUUGGGUUAAGUCCCGCAACGAGCGCAACCCUUAUUAUCAGUUGCCAGCAUUAAGUUGGGCACUCUGGUGAGACUGCCAGUGACAAACCGGAGGAAGGUGGGGAUGACGUCAAAUCAUCAUGCCCCUUAUGACCUGGGCUACACACGUGCUACAAUGGAUGGUACAACGAGUUGCGAACUCGCGAGAGUAAGCUAAUCUCUUAAAGCCAUUCUCAGUUCGGAUUGUAGGCUGCAACUCGUCUACAUGAAGUCGGAAUCGCUAGUAAUCGCGGAUCAGCAUGCCGCGGUGAAUACGUUCCCGGGCCU